UGAGUAACGCGUGAGUAACCUGCCCUAGAGUGGGGGACAACAGUUGGAAACGACUGCUAAUACCGCAUAAGCCCACGGUACCGCAUGGUACUGAGGGAAAAGGAUUUAUUCGCUUUAGGAUGGACUCGCGUCCAAUUAGCUAGUUGGUGAGGUAACGGCCCACCAAGGCGACGAUUGGUAGCCGGACUGAGAGGUUGAACGGCCACAUUGGGACUGAGACACGGCCCAGACUCCUACGGGAGGCAGCAGUGGGGGAUAUUGCACAAUGGGGGAAACCCUGAUGCAGCGACGCCGCGUGGAGGAAGAAGGUCUUCGGAUUGUAAACUCCUGUUGUUGAGGAAGAUAAUGACGGUACUCAACAAGGAAGUGACGGCUAACUACGUGCCAGCAGCCGCGGUAAAACGUAGGUCACAAGCGUUGUCCGGAAUUACUGGGUGUAAAGGGAGCGCAGGCGGGAGAACAAGUUGGAAGUGAAAUCCAUGGGCUCAACCCAUGAACUGCUUUCAAAACUGUUUUUCUUGAGUAGUGCAGAGGUAGGCGGAAUUCCCGGUGUAGCGGUGGAAUGCGUAGAUAUCGGGAGGAA
rnacentral:rRNA from 1 species